GCUUCGGCGGGGGGCACUGCCCUGCUUUCCUCUGGGAAGCACCCGCCGGAGGCAUUUAAACUCUGUAUUAUUGGCUUCUCUGAGUAACUUAUUUAAUAAGUCACAACUUUCAACAACGGAUCUCUUGGCUCUGGCAUCGAUGAAGAACGCAGCGAAAUGCGAUACGUAAUGUGAAUUGCAGAAUCCAGUGAAUCAUCGAAUCUUUGAACGCACAUUGCGCCCGCUAGUAUUCUGGCGGGCAUGCCUGUCCGAGCGUCAUUUCAACCAUCAAGUCCUAGGCUUGUGUUGGGGAUCUGCGGCUGCCGCAGCCCCCUAAAUUUAGUGGCGGGCUCGUCGUCGUACCGAGUGCAGUAAAUAUUCUCACUUAGGGAAGGUGGCGUGCUCCGGCCGUUAAACACUCCAUUAUUUAAGGUUGACCUCGGAUCAGGUAGGAAUACCCGCUGAACUUAAGCAUAUCAAUAAGCGGAGGA
rnacentral:rRNA from 1 species